GACGAACGCUGGCGGCGUGCUUAACACAUGCAAGUCGAACGAAGUGGCGAACGGGUGAGUAACACGUGAGUAACCUGCCCUCUUCGUUGGGAUAACGGUCGGAAACGGCUGCUAAUACUGGAUAGUGGGGGAUGGGCUCGCGGCCUAUGAGCUUGUUGGUGGGGUGAUGGCCUACCAAGGCUUUGACGGGUAACCGGCCUGAGGGGGUGACCGGUAACAUGGGGACGGGGCUACGGCCCAGACUCCUACGGGAGUGAGCAGUGGGGAAUUUUGCACAAUGGGCUGAAGCCGGAUGCAGCGACGCCGCGUGAGGGAUUUAGGCCUUCGGGUUGUUAACCUUUUUCGCGCAUGUUCGGGUAGUGGGUAAAGAAGCGCCGGCUAACUACGUGCCAGCAGCCGCGGUAAUUC
rnacentral:rRNA from 1 species